rnacentral:piRNA from 1 species
UGAGAAUGUGUGGCACCAAAAGUUUGCCUGC